GGGCCGUUGGCAGUGCGGGCGCGAGCGUGUGCGCAGGGCCCGCUCUCGCCGCGCUCCGGCCUGCAGCCCCGCGCCGCCUCCGUUUGAAUGGCGCGCGGCGCGGCGACAGUUUGGCCCUCGAAACGGGCGUGUGAAGGGGAGGCGGAGCGGCGGGGUCCCGGGCAGCCAGGCGCGCGCCCCCGAAGCCGCUUCGUCCCCCCAAUAUCCUUCAGGUGUAGGCAGGCCAUCUACCGCCGAGCUGCCAGCCUGUGGGGACCCUACAAAGACAUUUGGCAGACAGUUGGAAGUGCUCUUUGGAGAAGACAGCCUGAAGCUGUCCACCUUCUUGACAUGAUUUUGAAGAAACACAAACCCGACUUCAUUUCACUGUUCAAAAACCCACCCAAAAAUGUUCAACAGCAUGAGAAAAUUCAGAAAGCCAGUUCAGAGGGUGUUGCGAUCCAGGGGCAACAAGGAACCAGACUUCUUCCUGAGCAGCUCAUUAAAGAAGCAUUUAUCAUCAGUGACCUUUUUGAUAUUGGGGAAUUGUCAGCUGUUGAGCUUCUCCUUGCUGGAGAGCAUCAGCAGCCACAUUUCCCUGGCCUCACCAGGGGAUUGGUAGCUGUCCUUUUAUACUGGGAUGGAAAGCGGUGCAUUGCAAAUUCUCUCAGAACCCUGAUACAGUCUAGACGAGGAAAGACAUGGACAUUAGAACUCAGUCCAGAGCUGGUUUCCAUGACAACACGCUUUACAGAUGAGCUGAUGGAGCAAGGAUUGACUUACAAAGUCCUUACUUUGCUGUCACAGAUUGAUGUGAAUAAUGAGUUUGAGAAACUACAGAGAGAGAGAGGUUUGGGCAGUGAGAAACACCGCAAAGAGGUUUCUGAUCUCAUCAAGGAGUGCAGGCAGUCUCUGGCUGAAAGUCUUUUUGCCUGGGCUUGCCAGUCACCAUUACCCAAAGAUGACACCCUCCUACUUAUUGGACAUUUGGAAAGAGUGACAGUUGAGGCCAAUGGCUCCCUAGAUGCAGUGAAUCUGUGCCUCCUUAUGGCUCUUCUGUACUGUUUUGAUACCAGCUUUAUAGACCAAAGCACAGAGGAACGAGAUGAUAUGAUUCACCACCUUCCACUGUUGACAGAGAGACAGUACGUUUCGACAAUUCACUCUCGCCUCCAGGACUCUCAGCCUUGGAAGCUUCCUGGACUGCAGGCCACUGUUAGGCUUGCCUGGGCCCUGGCGUUGAGGGGGAUAUCCCAGCUACCGGAUGUAACAGCCCUGGCUGAGUUCACAGAAGCAGAUGAAGCAAUUGCAGAGCUGGCCAUUGCUGAUAAUGUCUUCCUGUUCCUCAGCGAGGCUGUUGUGCUGGCUGAAAACUUCUAUCAGGAAGAGUUUUACAUCCGCAGAAUCCACAGUCUUAUCACAGACUUCCUUGCAUUUAUGCCAAUGAAAGUGAAACAGCUGAAGAAUCGGGCAGAUGAAGAUGCUCGAAUGAUUCACAUGAGUAUACAGAUGGGUAAUGAACCCCCCAUCUCACUUAGAAGGGACCUGGAACACUUAAUGCUCCUGAUUGGUGAACUGUAUAAAAAAAAUCCAUUUCAUCUGGAGCUUGCGCUAGAAUACUGGUGUCCCUCAGAGCCUCUGCAGACUCCCACAGUCAUGGGCUCUUACCUGGGAGUAGCUCAUCAGCGGCCUCCUCAGCGCCAGGUUGUCUUGUCAAAGUUUGUUAGACAAAUGGGUGACCUGUUGCCUCCAACUAUUUAUAUUCCUUAUUUGAAAAUGCUCCAGGGCCUGGCCAAUGGGCCUCAGUGUGCCCACUACUGUUUUAGCCUGCUCAAAGUCAAUGGUAGUAGUCAUGUUGAAAACAUACAGGGAGCAGGUGGCAGUCCUGUUUCCUGGGAGCAUUUCUUUCAUUCCUUAUUGCUCUACCAUGAGCAUCUCCGGAAGGACCUGCCAAGUGCAGACAGUGUCCAGUACCGUCACCUUCCUUCCCGUGGCAUCACCCAGAAGGAGCAAGAUGGACUGAUUGCUUUUCUCCAGCUGACAUCUACUAUCAUUACUUGGAGUGAGAAUGCUCGCUUGGCCCUCUGUGAACAUCCCCAGUGGACGCCUGUUGUGGUGAUUCUGGGGCUCCUGCAGUGCAGUAUUCCUCCAGUUCUCAAAGCUGAGCUACUGAAGACACUUGCAGCUUUUGGAAAGUCUCCUGAAAUUGCCGCUUCACUUUGGCAGUCGUUGGAAUACACACAGAUACUGCAGACAGUCAGGGUUCCAAGCCAGAGGCAGGCUAUUGGUAUUGAGGUUGAACUCAAUGAAAUAGAGUCCCGGUGUGAAGAGUACCCCCUGACUAGGGCCUUUUGCCAGUUGAUCAGCACCCUGGUGGAGAGCUCAUUCCCUUCUAAUCUGGGUGCUGGCCUGCGCCCCCCUGGCUUUGACCCUUACUUGCAGUUCCUGAGAGAUUCUGUGUUUCUCCGAUUCCGUACAAGAGCUUACCGGAGAGCCGCUGAAAAGUGGGAAGUCGCUGAGGUUGUCUUGGAAGUGUUUUAUAAGCUGUUGAGAGAUUAUGAACCUCAGCUUGAAGAUUUUGUAGAUCAAUUUGUGGAACUACAAGGAGAAGAAAUCAUAGCCUAUAAGCCACCUGGCUUUAGUCUGAUGUAUCACCUUCUGAACGAGUCACCCAUGCUGGAGCUUGCCCUCAGUUUACUGGAAGAAGGAGUUAAGCAGCUUGAUACCUACGCUCCUUUCCCUGGAAAGAAACACCUGGAAAAAGCAGUUCAGCAUUGCCUGGCACUGCUCAACCUCACUCUGCAAAAGGAGAACCUUUUCAUGGACCUUCUGAGAGAGAGUCAGCUGGCUCUCAUCGUCUCGCCAUUGGAACAGCUCUUGCAGGGAAUUAAUCCGAGGACUAAGAAGGCAGACAACGUGGUUAACAUCGCCAGGUAUCUGUAUCAUGGGAACAAUAAUCCUGAGUUGGCAUUUGAAAGUGCGAAGAUCCUCUGCUGUAUCUCUUGUAAUUCCAACAUUCAGGUCAAAAUGGUUGGCGAUUUCACACAUGACCAGAGUGUGAGCCAGAAGCUGAUGGCUGGAUUUGUAGAGUGCUUGGAUUAUGAAGACACGGAAGAAUUUGUACGUGUAGAAGAGGGCUCAGAAUUAGAAAAGAAGUUAGCUGCGAUCCGUCAUGAAACGAGAAUCCAUAUCUUGAAUCUUCUCAUCACAUCUCUAGAACGCAAUCCACCCAAUCUUGCUCUCUACCUGUUGGGCUUUGAGUUAAAGAAACCCAUCAGUACCACCAAUCUACAAGACCCAGGAGUGUUAGGCUGCCCUCGGACGUGCCUGCAUGCCAUCCUCAACAUUCUGGAGAAGGGCACAGAGGGGAGAGAUGGCCCUGUGGCUGUGCGGGAGUAUCCUCAGCUGGCCGACCUGUGCUACCAGGUGAUAUAUCAGUUAUGUGCAUGCUCAGAUACAUCUGGUCCUACUAUGAGGUACUUGAGAACCAGCCAGGAUUUCUUAUUUUCCCAGUUGCAACAUCUACCUUUCUCCAACAAAGAGCAUGAAAUCUCCAUGCUGAGUCAGAUGUCAUGGCUUAUGAAGACAGCCUCAAUAGAGCUAAGAGUGACAUCUCUGAAUCGCCAGCGCUCACAUACACAGAGGCUCCUGCACCUCUUACUGGAUGACAUGCCGGUGAAGCCGUACUCAGAUGGUGAAGGAGGAAUGGAAGAUGAAAACAGAUCUGUCUCUGGGUUCCUUCAUUUUGACACUGCCACAAAAGUGCGUCGAAAAAUUCUAAGCAUCCUUGACUCGAUUGACUUCAGUCAGGAGAUCCCUGAGCCCUUGCAGCUGGAUUUUUUUGACCGUGCUCAGAUUGAGCAAGUCAUUGCCAACUGUGAGCACAAGAAUUUACAGGGGCAGACGGUCUGCAAUGUCAAGCUUCUUCAUAGAGUUCUCGUAGCUGAAGUCAAUGCUCUUCAGGGUAUGGCAGCAAUAGGUCAGAGGCCUCUGCUGAUGGAGGAAAUCAGCACUAUUCUUCAGUAUGUUGUAGGAAGAAACAAGCUGCUACAGUGUCUUCAUGCAAAGCGGCAUGCUCUAGAGUCCUGGAGGCAGCUGGUAGAAAUUAUCCUGACAGCUUGUCCUCAGGAGCUCAUCCAGGCAGAAGACCGACAGCUCAUUAUCCGUGACCUUUUACAAGAUGUGCACGAUAAGGUGCUGGAUGAUGAAGCCGCACAAGAGUUAAUGCCAGUGGUUGCCGGCGCUGUGUUCACCCUGACUGCUCACCUAAGCCAGGCUGUGCGCACGGAACAGAGGCAGCCGUUGGUCUCAGGACCUGGAGAGGCCCAGUAUGCUUUCAUGCUUGAUAGUUCUUUGACCUCAUCUCCUGCAGCAGAGAGCCGGCCAGUAGGCUUUGCGUCUAUCGGAGAUUCUUCGCUUCACAUCAUACUGAAGAAACUGUUGGACUUUAUUUUGAAGACAGGUGGUGGCUUCCAGCGUGUAAGGACUCACCUGUACGGCUCUCUGCUUUAUUAUUUACAGAUUGCCCAGAGACCAGAUGAGCCGGACACACUAGAAGCUGCUAAGAAAACUAUGUGGGAACGGCUGACUGCCCCUGAAGAUGUGUUUAGUAAAUUACAACGAGAGAACAUGGCUAUCAUUGAGAGUUAUGGCGCUGCCCUCAUGGAAGUGGUCUGUCGAGACGCUUGUGAUGGCCAUGAGAUUGGAAGGAUGCUGGCCCUGGCUCUCCUUGAUCGGAUUGUCUCUGUGGACAAGCAGCAUCAGUGGCUCUUGUACCUUUCUAACAGUGGCUAUUUGAAGGUCCUUGUGGAUAGCUUGGUGGACGAUGACCGAACUCUACAGAGCUUGCUGACUCCGCAGCCUCCUCUCUUAAAAGCCCUUUAUACGUAUGAAUCCAAAAUGGCAUUUCUCACGAGAGUGGCUAAGGAACAGCAAGGUUCAGCAGAGCUCCUGAGAUCAGGGGUGAUUGUGAGGCUGGCCCAGUGCCAAGUCUAUGAUAUGCGCCCAGAAAUGGACUCUCAUGGCAUGUUUGGCAUGAGAGACCCACCAGUAUUCAUCCCAACGCCUGUGGACCGAUACCGGCAGAUUCUCCUUCCAGCUCUCCAGCUGUGCCAGGUCAUCCUCACAUCCAGUAUGUCCCAGCACUUGCAGGCAGCAGGGCAGGUGCUGCAGUUUCUUGUUUCACAUUCUGAUACCAUCCAAGCAAUCCUGCGCUGUCAGGAUGUUAGCACUGGCUCUUUGCAGGAAUUAGCUCUGCUGACAGGAAUCAUAAGUAAAGCAGCGCUUCCUGGUAUGUUAAGUGAACUUGAUGUAGAUGUAAAUGAAGGAUCCUUAAUGGAGCUCCAUGGACACAUUGCAAGGUUUCAGCGCCAGUGCUUAGGCCUACUAAGUCGCUUUGGUGGUGCUGACAGACUGCGGCAGUUUAAAUUUCAAGAUAAUAAUGCGGAGGGAGAUAGGGUCAGCAAGAAAGAUGAAAUUGAGCUGGCCAUGCAGCAGAUUUGUGCCAAUGUGAUGGAAUAUUGCCAGUCAUUCAUACAGCAGAACUCCUCUAACCUCCAGAGUGCUGCUAUGUGUCUCUUCACCCCGAGCCUUUCAGAGACAGUUAACAGAGAUGGAGCACGGCAAGAUACCCAGGUUCCAGUCGUUCCGUAUUGGCGCCUGCCUGGCUUGGGCAUUAUUAUCUACCUGCUGAAGCAGAGUGCCACUGAUUUCUUUAGCUACUAUGACAGUCACCGUCGCAGUGUCAACAAGCUGCAGAAUGUAGAACAACUUCCUCCGGAUGAGAUAAAAGAGUUAUGCCAGUCUGUGAUGCCUGCUGGUAUUGAUAAAAUCUCUACUGCACAGAAGUGUGUCUUAGCAAGACGUCGUCUGGUGAAGCUGAUCAACAACCGUGCCAAACUGCUGUCCCUCUGUUCCUAUAUCAUCGAGACCUGCCUGUUUAUUCUUUGGCGCCAUCUGGAGUAUUAUUUGUUACAUUGCACGCCAAUGGAUUCCCAAGAUUCAUUGUUUGCCUCUAGGACUUUAUUUAAAAGCAGAAGACUACAAGACAGGUCCUAAAAUCCUGGACUUAAAUGAACCAGUCUCCCGAUAGCUGGACUGUGGAUGUACACCACUAACUACUAACCCAAUCUGGACUUCAGAAGUGGACUAUCUCAAGUGAACCAGCACGAUAUAGACCAGCUUCAGUCUGAUGCUGUCAACGCUUUCGGAGAGUCGCUGCAAAAGAAACUUCUUGACAUUGAAGGGUUGUACUCAAAAGUUCGAUCCCGCUAUAGUUUCAUCCAGGCUCUCAUCAGACGUAUCCGUGGCCUGCUGAGGCUGUCCAGGAACUGAGAACUGACUCUCUUCCGUGGAAGAGAUGAACUGAGGAGAACCACCUCUUUUUUAUAGAUGACUUUAUUUCUAAAUUAUGACCAAAAGAUAUUUUGCUAUUUCUUUCUUUAUAUAUGGACAUCUUUUCUGUAAACCUCUCUCAUUUCUCCCUCACUUGUGAACAAUAAAAUACUUUUUAAAAAUAAA